rnacentral:rRNA from 1 species
UACGUAGGGGGCAAGCGUUGUCCGGAUUUAUUGGGCGUAAAGAGCGUGUAGGCGGCCAUACAGGUCAGCUGUGAAACUCGAGGCUCAACCUCGAGACGUCGGUUGAAACCGUAUGGCUAGAGUCCGGAAGAGGAGAGUGGAAUUCCCGGUGUAGCGGUGAAAUGCGCAGAUAUCGGGAAGAACACCCGUGGCGAAGCGGCUCUCUGGACGGUACUGACGCUGAGACGCGAAAGCGUGGGAGCGAACAGG